UGGUGGAGUGAUUUGUCUGGUUAAUUCCGUUAGCGAACGAGACCUGAACAUGCUAAAUAGUAACAGCUCAUUCCGGUUACGCUGACAACUUAUUACAGGGACUGUGUGUGUACCGCAAGGACGUUUGAGGCAAUAACA
rnacentral:rRNA from 1 species